CAUGAGAAAUGAGUUUAUACAAAUUUUACGUUCGAUAUCACGUACAAUGAUUAUUACCAACUAUUUUGAAACAACAACAUUUCGUGAGUCCAGACCUGUCCAUGAACAAGGAUGAUUGAAGCUUCUACAACUAAAAACAACCAGUUCAAAGAAAAGACAAAACGAACAACGGUAUAAAGUUGCAGAAAAGAAAAAAAACAAUAAAGACACUGCCACAACCACUCCAUUACCAGUCGCUAUUUAUACUAAUAAAAGAAUCAAAGCCGCCACACAAAUGACCAAAAUCUUCUUCACCUACAAGGCUUAACAUGAUAACCACAACCCCAUUAGUCCAUUUAAUCCAAUUUAUAUUAUAUUAUAUACUUUUAUAUCUAAAACGCACUCCAUUUAUUGGCAUCUCUCCUUGGUGUCUGACUCUCCAGUGAUGUCCUAAAUGGCCCCGUUGACCCAAAUGGAUCAGCAUCAUCGAACGAUGAGAACUCGUGACCAUGAUCAAACCCUGUAGUGCUUCGCAUAGAAUCAAACCUCGUUAGCGAAUGUCUUGGAGAUUUGUUUAGCCCACUCUCAGGUUGAUCACUUGCAUUAAAUGAAUCAAACCUCAAUGGGGGGAACCCAUAACCCUGAUCAAAGUCUGUUGAGCUGUGCAUGGAAUCAAACCUGUCAAAGGUGCGGGAUUGAAACAAUCCACCAUCUUGCAUGUUGAAUGAAUCAGACCUAGGGAAGCUGUCAAACGAGUAACCAUCUGAUCCUUCACCAAAACCCUGUUGGGAGCUCCCAUAAUGAUAAGCAGGGGUGCUUGGAACAGAAUCUGCAAAAAUAGAUGAGCUCUUCCCCUUGAACAUGUUAUCUGCAUAGGCAGGAGUGCUUGGAACAGAAUCUGCAAAUAUGGACGAACCCUUCCCCUUGAACAAGUUAUCUGCAUAGGCAGGAGUGCUUGGAACAGAAUCUCCAAAUAUGGAUGAACCCUGACCCUUAAACAAGUUAUCUGCAUAGGCAGGAGUGCUUGGAACAGAAUCUGCAAACAAGGACGAACUCUUCCCCUUAAACAUGCUAUCUGCAUAGGCCGGAGUGCUUGGAACAGAAUCUGCAAAAACAGAUGAGCCCUUCCCCUGGAACAUGUUAUCUGCAUAAGCAGGGGUGCUUGGAACAGAUUCCCCAAAAACAGAUGAGCUCUUCCCUUGGAACAUGUCACCUGCGUAGGCAGGGGUGCUUGGAACAGAAUCUGCAAACAAUGGACCUUUCCCUGGGAAUAAGUUUUCAGACUGUGAGGACUGCGUUUUUAUGGGCUUUAUGUUGAAGCCGCCAAGACCAAAUAUAGAGUUAUCAUCAUGCCUCUCAGGAUCCAUCUCCUGCAAGAAAAGUUCUCUUUAGACCAAUUUGUGAUUCUCAAUAAAAUUCUG
rnacentral:lncRNA from 1 species